rnacentral:piRNA from 1 species
UUAUUUUUUACGACAGUUUUC